AUGGAGGCGGAGACGGAGGGGACCUUCGAGAGGAACACCAAGCCGAGGCUGGACGACCAUCCGGGGGCGACGGCGGCCAGCCUGCUCACCGACGAUCUCAUCCUGGAGAUCCUCUCCCGUCUCCCCGCCAGAUCCGUCCACCGCUUCAAGUGCGUCUCCGUGCUCUGGCGCGACCUCAUCGCCGCCAACCGCAACAAGCUGCCCCACACCCUCGCCGGCUUCCUCUACAGGACCAUCAGGAACGCUCGCCGCCACCACUUUGCCAGCGUCUCCGGCGGCGCCAUCCCGUUCGACCCUUGCCUUCAGCCUAACAAGUACAAGGACAUGACCCAGGUAGACUCCUGCAAUGGCCUCCUCCUCUACCGCAGCUGUGCCAACAGGGAUGAUUUCCGUCUUGUGGUGUGCAAUCCCGCCACCGGGAGGUGGGUGGAGUUACCCCCAAAGCCACAGGCGCCGGCGAGUACAAGUAGCCGUACCAUAGGCUUGGCUUUCGAUCCGGCGGUAUCGCCCUAUUUCCACGUUCUUUGUUUCGAGCAGACCUUGCAGGAAACUUACAUGACAGGAGUGAACAUCUACUCGUCGCAGACAGGAGCCUGGAGUCUUAGGGACAGUGGGACGGUUGAGAAAGUCACCCUCUUCCUCGGGAGUAGUAAAUGUGUCUCUGUCGGCGGUAUGCUGUACCUGAAUGGGAAGCUGCACAUCCGCGGCGAUUUUGUGCUGGUGGGCGUGGGCAUGGAGGGGAAAGUGUGGACAACCACCCCCUUGCCGUACCCUCGAAUGUUUGGUAUGACUGGAUCGUCUCAAGGGUGCUUACACUAUGCUAUACCUCCUGCCGAUGAUAACAAUAGAAUCCUGUUCUCUAAGAGAGAAAUCUGGUGCCUCAAGGAUCGCAAUAGUAAAGAAUUGGUCUUGAAGCAUACUGCCAACAUUGAUAAGCUUAUGACCGGGCAUAGUUAUAGGGUGGUUGGGAUUCAUCCAGAUUGCGAUACCAUCUUCCUGAUCUCAUAUGAAGAUGAUACCUAG
rnacentral:rRNA from 1 species